CCAGGGGGCAAAUCUUUUUGGUUAACAAAAGCCAUUUUCUCCAGAAUUUGGUGUGCGUGAACUGUUCUGCCUUUCAGGCAUAGAUAUCUUGGAGACUCUGGAACAAGACGAUAAAAGAGCAGUAAAGAAAAUGAUGGUACAGCAGACAGAGCAAGUAACCACCUCCAAUUCAGUAUUGGCAUCACAAUCCAUGCUAGUGAAGCCUCAAAUAUAGUUCCAAUUGUCCAGAAAAUUGUAAGGAUAACCAUCCACUUGCCUCUAUGCGAAGUGGGAAUAAACUCAAGAAACCAUGACAAGAAUACAUGUCCACCACCCAGGCCAAAAC
rnacentral:misc_RNA from 1 species